GCAGUCGUCGGCUCAAAACAUAGCCGGCGUGUUUGGCCACAGUUCUGACAUUUGUUAUUGUACUACCGAGAGUCGUGCGCGAGAGUGACUUCCCGAAUUUAAAUAUUUAUUUAAAAGCAUUUGCUCAAGUGAAAAACAAAAGAAGAAUGAAUUCGGACAAUAAGACGACCACCAAAAAUCAAACUCCGACCCAGUAUUCCAGCUACAAUCCCUGGAAUUUGUUAUUCACAUCGCGAUCCCGUACUGAAAGUGAGAACAGCACAAGCUCAACAAGUUCCCAAAAUUACCAGACAGCAUCACGGUGUGGAGGUCUACAACGACAGCCGAGCAAGAAUGAGGAUUACUUGUGGAUGAUGUGGCGUUCGUAGUAGAACGAUCAUCGAAGGCAGAGCUCUGUCAGCUCAGUCAGUACAAACGGAUAGCUUUAGUUAUACGUCUGUGACCGAUUGCGAUAGAAUGAACUGUUUGGGAUCGCGCGAAACCGCUCAAAGUACCAAGUGACGAUGAUGCUGGAACACGUGGCUCUGAUGCCCACGUGGUUUCUGAUGGUGUGGCUCGGAGCCUGCAUACUCUUCAGCCCUUUCGCGAUAUUCUUUGUGGUGUGCCUGCCCCAGUUGCCUCUCCUAGUCGUUAGAAGGGCUUGCCAUAUUCCAUUCGAGUACAUUUGAUACUAGGAUGCCGGGGUACAGCAUAAUAAUGUGUAACAUAGUGAUAUUAUGAUUCAUUUUACUGAGUAUAAGUGUAAAUAUUAUUAAAAUUAUAUUUUAUAUCUCAUA